UAAACAUAGACAGUUCACAUACCCUACUGUCCGCCCGGGAACUACGAGCAUCAGCUUAAAACCCAAAGGACUUGGCGGUGCUUUAAACCCACCUAGAGGAGCCUGUUCUAGAACCGAUAAUCCCCGUUCAACCUCACCCUUCCUUGUUCUAUCCCGCCUAUAUACCACCGUCGUCAGUUUACCCUGUGAAGGUCAAACAGUAAGCACAAUCGGCAUAGCCCAAAACGUCAGGUCGAGGUGUAGCGUAUGGAAGGGGAAGAAAUGGGCUACAUUCCCUAAUAUUAGGGUAUACGGACGACAUACUGAAACGCAUGUCUGAAGGAGGAUUUAGCAGUAAGCAGGAA
rnacentral:rRNA from 3 species